rnacentral:misc_RNA from 1 species
AUUCUUAGACGCUCGGCUUAUAUACAACCCAGAACUAGACCCUUGCCAAUAGCACCACAGUCUCCGUUGUCUCCCUAAUUCCAUCUUUGCACUGCUCUGAGUCAUGCAUUGUUGCCGAUGGCCGGACGCAACCAUCUCCCUCCUAAUGCCUCGAAACACCGGCAACCUCCAAUCGACGACGCUCGCUUCCAUCUUCACCGCCUCCCUCUCUCCGUCGUUGCCAAUCCCACCACCGCCCGGCCCCACCAUCCAUCAACUAUUCUCGAAGACCGAAUUGCUAUCCAGCACCGGGAGAUUCAAUCCCUUCUCCUUGACAAACAACAACUGGCAGCCACUCAUCUUGCUUUGAAGCAAGAGCUUGCUCUCGCUCAAGAUGAGCUUCGACACUUAUCGACUGCUGCGGCUGAUGUAAAGGCAGAGAGGGAUGAUCAGGUGCGGAAGGUUUAUGAAAGAUCGUUGCAAAUGGACUCGGAGGUGCGCUCGAUUGAUGCAUUGAGAGCAGAGCUUGUUCAGGUAAGGAGGGAUUGUCAGAAGCUUACCCUGCACCGUCAGGAACUUGCUGCAGAGUUGCAGGCUAUUAAUGGUGAUCUUCUUAAGGCAAGAACGGAGGCACAAGAAGUCACUGUGAUUAAGGGUGAGAUUGAGGCCAUUCAACAAGAGAUUCAAAGAGGAAGGGCUGCCAUUGAAUGUGAGAAGAAGACUUAUGCCAGUAAUCUUGAGCAUGGAAAGACAAUGGAGCAGAAUAUGCUUGCAGUAGCUCGUGAAAUUGAAAAACUUCAUGCUGAACUGGCUAGUGCAGGGAAAAGAGCAACAGCAGCAGCAGCAGCAACAAAUCCAAGUCCUGGAUACGCUGGAAGCUACAGCAAUUCUGAAGCUGCUUAUGGAGGAAAUCCAUGCCCUGAUCCUUAUGUCAUGCAUCAGGUUCAAGGUGGUACUGAUGAAGGCCCCCCAAUUGUGUCUGGAUGAGUACCAAUCAAUCCUUGUAAUGUGCAAUGAACACGAGCAUAUAGAGCCA